GAGAAAGCCUGUGCGUGGCAACGAAGACCCAACGCAGCCAUAAAUAAAUAAAUAAACUUAUUUAAAGAAAAAAGAAUGAAUGUCCAAAGCCGCCAUGUUGGUCCAGCUUGGUCCUGACGCUGAAGGCAGGGGAGAGAGGAGAGCUCUAAGAAAUGGGAGGGGAAAACCGGACAGAUUUUGUACCUCAUUUGCAAGGGCAGAUUUAAUUUUAACAUCUUGCCAUCCUUAAACCAUAGUAGUUCUUCCUAGGGAAGGCUUCCUGGGGGGGGUCUGCGCAGUGUCUGUCUGGAAUGCUGCUUAGCAACCAGCUUGAACACGACACGGAUGGAUCAUGUAUAAACCACUUUGAAACAGAAGCUCACAGGCGCUGGUCACCGGGAGACACUCCAGAGGCAGCUGGGGAGCAGGGCAGCGGGGAAGGGAGGCCGCCUGAGCCGGCGACUGGCUGUCCUGUGUGGCCCCAGCAGCAGAAGCUGACGGUCUGACCUUAAGAUAAAAUCCCUAUUGAUCGACAGUUGUCUGGGCACUAACAGAUCAGGAAGCAGAAAGGCUUUACUCUUUGCUUCAUGUGACUUUCCUGCUAAUGAUGCUGAGAUGAAUAACAAGCCUCAAACUGAAACUCAAUUUCCUCCCAGGCUGCAGAGGGAAACAGGGGCAGCUGGAGACGGGGUGGCCGGUGGUGACGCACCUCGUCUGCCCAGGGCACGGGCAAAGCCAGCACAGCCCAUCACGUCCACCGACUGUAAUUAGGAAAAGGCCCUGGACUCCGACAGAUCUUGGUUGUAGUUUUUAGUCUGCCGCUUAGGAACUAUGAAUUUGCAAAUUUCACCCGAUUCCCUGAACCUUCGAUUUCCUCUCCUCUAUAAUGUGAGAUUGUCAGGAGGAUAAGAGCAGAUAUGCAGGGUCCUGCCUGAGACAAACACUGGCUGGGAGUGUUCACAUUUCCCCCAUUUGGGGCUGAAAAAAGGGCAUAUCCCUGGGAGCCAGGCAUGGGUGGAUGGCCCCUGGGUAGAUGUCCUAGCCCCCAUCACAGAGGAGGACCCGCAGAAUGGUUCAUGGACUUCGGGGGCUGAGUGGUGACAGAAGCCCAGGCUCCUCCCUGCUCCUGCUGCCGGAAGCUUGCACCCUCCUUGAGCCCGGCUCAGAUGAACAUCCUCGACCCUGGUUCCCUCCUUCCUUCAUCGCAGGCAAUGACUUCUCACCCGUAGGCUGGUUUCAGUGCUUAACUCUUCUGUUAAAGCCUUUCUCACGCUCCACUUUGGAUGGCUCUUUCCUCCCCUGGCUUCUGCCACCGCAGACCAGCUCUGCGGUUUUUGAACUUCAUGCAAAUGGACUCACCAAGUGUGCUAUUGGUGGACUUUUACAAAAUGCUGGGUACAUUCCCAUCAGCUCCGGAAUUGGAGGCAGGUGAGCUCCCUGCUCACAGACCCUGACCUGCCUGCAGGCCCAGUCAGGACCAGCUUCUGGAAAGAGAAGCGUUGAAAAAAGUAAACAGCUUUCCACUGAAUGCCCGAUGGGAAUGGAGCACGCACAGCCCGGCGGGGACUGUGGCCACUCAGGUGGGCCCCUGACCUGGCUGCAGGUGUCUCGGAUUCUACGUGGCUUCCUAGGUGGUUCUCUUGGAUGUUUUGAGACCUGUGAACUGGAGGAAAAUCCAUACGUGAAAAUCCAGACCAAACAAAGUUGAUUAAUCAGGGUCAUCACCAAAUGAUGGUAAUUUCCUUGCUUUGCCAACGUGACCUAAAAUGAAUUGAACCGAUUUUCAGGAACAUAUCCACACGUCUAUCUAGAUGUACCUGAUUGGACAGUAUUUAUGUUUUCAUUCAUUUAUUUGGUCCUUUAUUUGCCCAUCCUGCUUUAGCUGUCAGCCACAGGGCAAGAACAAGAACAGGAACUGACUGUGAAUAUUAAGGUGACUUUCUUGACUCCACAGGCUAGUGUAGGCUGCUCCGUAUUUGAGUUAUAAUUACUUCUUGAGUCUGUCCCCUGCAACUAGAUUGUAAAGUACUUGAGAGCCUGGGAGGUUUCAACCUUUGUAAAUGUCUCUGACCCAGAGCAAACAUUCAGUGAAUGUACCCUGAUAAUAAAUGUUUCUGGACAGACAGAAAGCAGGGAGGGGAGAACGGAGAGGGAGGGAGGAAGGAAAGGAGGAAGAAAAGCAAUGCAGUGUGACUGUACAGAGCUGGGGCAUUUCUGUAGGUACAUGGAUGGAUACACAGAUACAUGUAAACCACACCCCUGCAAAGUUCUUGAAGAAAUGUGAUUUCUGUUUCCUUCAGAGACAGAAGUCUACACUCUUACAAGCUUCACUGUCAUAUUGUAACUUGAGAAUGUAGCAUUAAUUGCUACACAGAAAGCAAGUGUAACUCACUUGCGAAAAGGCAAAUUGCGCUGUUGUGCUUGCUUUAUUUAUUUGGCCUCUGAAUGCAAAUUGAAUAAUAAAUGGCGAACAGUCGAACUUGCCGUGGAUGGUAUUGACUGGGAGAAGGAUUAAGGCCCACAGUCCGCAGUGACGGCUGGAGGUCAGCCUUUACCAGUCGGGGGCGGUCAGGCCGGUGUCCCGGCUCAUUUUUAUUUUCACUUUUACUUCUCUCUCCUCCCUGUGACUUUACCCAGGAAAAUAGCACCGCCUGUCACCUAGGAAACUGGGCUGUCUCGCUGGCAGGUGGAGAUGGGUGACCCCACCCUGUCUCAUUACAAAUGUGCAUUUGCAGCUGGGCUCUGGGUGACCUUGCCAAGGACAGAAAGCUAAUCCAAUGAUGCUGGUGAAUUGAGGCCCAGCCCCACACACCUGGCGUCCUGAGGGCCCGGCUGAGGGGUGGGGAUCUGCCUGUUUAAGCUGCUAAACACGCCCAUCUCUUAAGAAGGAGGCUGCAAAGUGGUUUCGUUCUGAAAAUGAUUAAGAAAUAAGCCUGAUGCUCUGUAUUGUGACCGUGCAAGACCCUGGGCCUCUAACUUCGACCACCUUCCUUUUCACCGGGUUCCCCGGAGCGGACGGUUAGCAUUGGACUUGAGACUGGGGUGACCCGCCGGGCCUGGACCCAGAACUGCCGCGUCCUCCCCGCCUGGCGUUCCCAGUUCCGAGCACGGCCGGCUGCAAGGCUAAGGGCAGUUCCAAGGUAGGGUGCUCCCCGCAGGACAGUCCAGAUUCCAGGGAAAAGACACCUCUUGCUCGUCUAAAGAGAGGCUGUGUGUGUGUCUUUUACCCAGGAGAACAAUGAUGGAAUCAACGAUUUUAACCUGCGUUGUAGGAGCUCCUAACCAGGUGAUGCUCUGGGAAGCAGAGAGCCAGGGGCCCACGCCCAGGAGCUGACCUUCCCAGGGCAGUAGGCGAACUUUUUCUUCUCUAUUUUUAUUAAAAAUAAAUUAUGAAGUUUAUUUAUUGAUUUUUGUAUAAUCCAACUAGAUAAAAGCAUUUUGACUUAUGU